rnacentral:rRNA from 1 species
AUUGAACGCUGGCGGCAGGCCUAACACAUGCAAGUCGAGCGGAUGAAGGGAGCUUGCUCCUGGAUUCAGCGGCGGACGGGUGAGUAAUGCCUAGGAAUCUGCCUGGUAGUGGGGUAUAACGUCCGGAAACGGGCGCUAAUACCGCAUACGUCCUGAGUGAGAAAGGGGGGGAUCUUCGGACCUCACGCUAUCAGAUGAUCCUAGGUCGGAUUAGCUAGUUGGUGGGGUAAAGGCCUACCAAGGCGACGAUCCGUAACUGGUCUGAGAGGAUGAUCAGUCACACUGGAACUGAGACACGGUCCAGACUCCUACGGGAGGCAGCAGUGGGGAAUAUUGGACAAUGGGCGAAAGCCUGAUCCAGCCAUGCCGCGUGUGUGAAGAAGGUCUUCGGAUUGUAAAGCACUUUAAGUUGGGAGGAAGGGCAGUAAGUUAAUACCUUGCGGUUUUGACGUUACCAACAGAAUAAGCACCGGCUAACUUCGUG